rnacentral:rRNA from 1 species
ACACAUGCAAGUCGAACGGGGAGUAUUAAUUUCGGUUUUUACUCCUAGUGCGAACGGGUGAGUAACGCGUUGGUGACCUGCCCCGAAGCGGGGGAUAACGUUCGAAAGGACUGCUAAUACCCCAUGUGGUCGUACAGGUUAUAGGCUGACGACUAAAGGAGCAAUCCACUUCGGGAGGGGCCUGCGUCCCAUCAGCUUUUGGUAAGGUAACGGCCUACCAAGGCGAUGACGGGUAGGGGACCUGAGGGGUGGUCCCCCACACUGGCACUGAAACACGGGCCAUACACCUACGGGUGCAUGAGUAGGGAAUAUUGCACAAUGGGCGAAAGCCUGAUGCAGCAACGCGCGUGCGCGAAGAAGGCCUUCGGGUUGUAAAGCGCUUCUCUGGAGGAAAGAAAGGACGGUACUCCAGGAAUAAGGAUCGGCUAACUACGUGCCAGCACCGUGGCUAUAAUCACUAGUGAAUUC